rnacentral:rRNA from 1 species
UACAGAGGGUGCAAGCGUUGCUCGGAAUCAUUGGGCGUAAAGGGUAGGUAGGUGGUCUCAUUUGUCUGGGGUGAAAGCCUUGAGCUUAACUCAAGAAGUGCCCCGGAAACGGUGAGACUGGAGUCCUAGAGAGGCUAGCGGAAUUCCCGGUGUAGCGGUGAAAUGCGUAGAGAUCGGGAGGAACACCAGUGGCGAAGGCGGUUGCCUGGAGCUUUGCUGACGCUGAGGCGCGAAAGCGUGGGGAGCGAUCCGG